AAGUUUCAACAACGGAUCUCUUGGCUCUCGCAUCGAUGAAGAACGCAGCGAAAUGCGAUAAGUAAUGUGAAUUGCAGAAUUCAGUGAAUCAUCGAAUCUUUGAACGCACCUUGCGCUCCUUGGUAUUCCUUGGAGCAGGCCUGUUUGAGUAUCAU
rnacentral:rRNA from 1 species